AUGGAUAAUACAAACCACAAUAUCAUUGUGUGGAACGUCCGUGGGCUUAACAAUGCAGCUAGGGGGGCUGCCAUGAGAAACGUAGUGGAGGAUGCGGCGGCUUCAGUCGUUUGCAUCCUGGAGUCCAAGCUGGCGGUGGUGGACCAACGCGUGAUUGCUUCAUUGCUGGGUCUGAAAUUCGAUGUGUUCGUGGCCCUCCUCGCGUGCGGCAUGGCAGGCGGGAUCAUUGUUGCCUCGGAUUCUUCGGUGCUCACGGUGCCUGCCUUUUGCAUAGACCAAAUCUCUGUCACGAUCGGGAUGGCUUUUGGAGAGGCAACUAGUGGACCCUUACCACGGUUUAUGGGCCGACAAAGGACGCGCUUAAAGUGCAAUUCCUGGAUGAGCUCCGUGCGAUCCGUGCGGCCUGCGCCGGACCUUGGGCGAUGGUGGGGGAUUUUAAUCUCAUGGUCGACGCGGCGGACAAGAACAACAACCUGA
rnacentral:rRNA from 1 species